UUGAACGCUGGCGGCAUGCCUUACACAUGCAAGUCGAACGGCAGCACGGGAGCAAUCCUGGUGGCGAGUGGCGAACGGGUGAGUAAUAUAUCGGAACGUGCCCAGUAGUGGGGGAUAGCCCGGCGAAAGCCGGAUUAAUACCGCAUACGACCUGAGGGUGAAAGCGGGGGAUCGCAAGACCUCGCGCUAUUGGAGCGGCCGAUAUCAGAUUAGCUAGUUGGUGGGGUAAGGGCCUACCAAGGCUACGAUCUGUAGUUGGUCUGAGAGGACGACCAGCCACACUGGGACUGAGACACGGCCCAGACUCCUACGGGAGGCAGCAGUGGGGAAUUUUGGACAAUGGGCGCAAGCCUGAUCCAGCAAUGCCGCGUGCAGGAAGAAGGCCUUCGGGUUGUAAACUGCUUUUGUCAGGGAAGAAAUCUUCUGGGCUAAUACCCCGGGAGGAUGACGGUACCUGAAGAAUAAGCACCGGCUAACUACGU
rnacentral:rRNA from 1 species